rnacentral:rRNA from 1 species
CCUACGGGUGGCAGCAGUAGGGAAUCUUCCACAAUGGGCGAAAGCCUGAUGGAGCAACGCCGCGUGGGUGAAGAAGGUCUUCGGAUCGUAAAACCCUGUUGUUAGAGAAGAAAGUGCGUGAGAGUAACUGUUCACGUUUCGACGGUAUCUAACCAGAAAGCCACGGCUAACUCCGUGCCAGCACCCGCGGUAAUACGUAGGUGGCAAGCGUUAUCCGGAUUUAGUGGGGGUAAAGGGAACGCAGGCGGUCUUUUAAGUCUGAUGUGAAAGCCUUCGGCUUAACCGGAGUAGUGCAUUGGAAACUGGGAGACUUGAGUGCAGAAGAGGAGAGUGGAACGCAAGGUGUAGCGGUGAAAUGCGUAGAGAUAUGGAAGAACACCAGUGGCGAAGGCGGCUCUCUGGUCUGUAACUGACGCUGAGGUUCGAAAGCGUGGGUAGCAAACAGGAUUAGAUACCCUUGUAGUC